CCAAGCACAUUAUAUUCGUAAGAAUUUAUUUUUAUCGAUACCCGUUUCACAAAAUGUAAGACACAAACAAGCAAUAUUGGUUCGACUCGUUUCACUCGGUCAUAAUGCCAAUAUUAAAAUUAUUUUAUUUUUUUUUUUUUGUAGUCAAAUUAUUGUACUUGUGACAAUGUUUAAAAUCCAUAUGUUUGUAAAGUUCAGUACGCGUAAAAUAUUUUAAAAGAUUUAUGAUAUUAUUUUAAACAAAUUAAGUGAAUAUAUCACACAUUUAUCACACAUAAUCACACAUUUCGCAUAUCGUACAAAUUUAAUUUUGAGUUACACGAUAGCCGAAGUGUCUCUGGAAAUUUAAUUUCACUCUGAUCAUUACUGUUCGUGCGUUUAUAUUGAUUGCGUUUUAUUUACAUUAGCCGAUUUGUUGCCUUCGAAGGUGUUUAAAAUUAAACGCUGCGCAUCGACGUAAUUCUAAUUGUAAACCUCUUUGUUCACAGUCUAUGAUAUAAGACGCGCGCAAAAAUGUGCUGCAGGUUUAGG